rnacentral:rRNA from 1 species
AACGAACGCUGGCGGCAUGCCUAACACAUGCAAGUCGAACGGGAUCUUCGGGUCUAGUGGCGCACGGGUGCGUAACGCGUGGGAAUCUGCCCUCAGGUUCGGAAUAACCAUUGGAAACGAUGGCUAAUACCGGAUGAUGACGUUAAGUCCAAAGAUUUAUCGCCUGAGGAUGAGCCCGCGUAGGAUUAGCUAGUUGGUGUGGUAAAGGCGCACCAAGGCGACGAUCCUUAGCUGGUCUGAGAGGAUGAUCAGCCACACUGGGACUGAGACACGGCCCAGACUCCUACGGGAAGCAGCAGUGGGGAAUAUUGGACAAUGGGCGAAAGCCUGAUCCAGCAAUGCCGCGUGAGUGAUGAAGGCCUUAGGGUUGUAAAGCUCUUUUACCCGGGAUGAUAAUGACAGUACCGGGAGAAUAAGCUCCGGCUAACUCCGUGCCAGCAGCCGCCGCGGUAA